UAAGCUAUUGCACCCUCCUCCUUGUUAAAAGUUCUAGUUGUUAGGGUUGUUUUACUUAUUAUAUGGUGUGUCUCUCUUCAUGAUAUAAACCACAGUGAAGUCUGAAUUCUUGUGCUAGGUGCCAUCCUGACCAGGCUGAAGCUGACAUGAUUAGCAAGCAUCGUAACCUUGCAACCUAUGGGAACCUGAGGAACUGCAUCACAAGAGUGAAAGGGACGCCCACCCAGCACUUCUUCGAGGAUGGUGCCUUGAAGAAGGGAGAAGUGCGCCUAAAGUGAAUGCCAUGGCAGGCAUUGCGCUGAGGCUUGGGCCAUGUGGAACUGGAGGCAGCCAAGUCAUCAAAGAAGAUAGGACUUCGGCUCAUUCGGAAACCAUGUGAACUACGGCACAAGAGGCCCAGGGCACCGGGACAGCUGGCUGAAUAAACAGCUAAGCCUUUCAAACAUUGAAGUGUGUGCUAUCCCAAGGAGAGUAGUUUGAAGGGGAUUAGAGUUUUAGACCUCAAG